rnacentral:rRNA from 1 species
UACGAAGGGGGCUAGCGUUGCUCGGAAUCACUGGGCGUAAAGGGUGCGUAGGCGGGUCUUUAAGUCAGGGGUGAAAUCCUGGAGCUCAACUCCAGAACUGCCUUUGAUACUGAGGAUCUUGAGUUCGGGAGAGGUGAGUGGAACUGCGAGUGUAGAGGUGAAAUUCGUAGAUAUUCGCAAGAACACCAGUGGCGAAGGCGGCUCACUGGCGCGAUACUGACGCUGAGGCACGAAAGCGUGGGGAGCAAACAGG